rnacentral:rRNA from 1 species
UACGUAGGGGGCAAGCGUUGUCCGGAAUCAUUGGGCGUAAAGAGCGUGUAGGCGGCCAGAUAAGUCCGCUGUGAAAUCUCGAGGCUCAACUUCGAGCGGUCGUGGGAAACUGGGUGGCUAGAGUGCGGGAGAGGAGAGUGGAAUUCCCAGUGUAGCGGUGAAAUGCGCAGAUAUUGGGAAGAACACCCGUGGCGAAGGCGGCUCUCUGGAACGCAACUGACGCUGAGACGCGAAAGCGUGGGGAGCAAACAGG